UACGAAGGGGGCUAGCGUUGUUCGGAAUUACUGGGCGUAAAGCGCACGUAGGCGGCUUUGUAAGUUAGAGGUGAAAGCCCGGGGCUCAACUCCGGAACUGCCUUUAAGACUGCAUCGCUUGAAUUGUGGAGAGGUAAGUGGAAUUCCGCGUGUAGUGGUGAAAUGCGUAGAGAUGCGGAGGAACACCAGUGGCGAAAGCGACUUUCUGGUCCUUAACUGACGCUGAGGCGCGAAAGCCGUGGGGAGCG
rnacentral:rRNA from 1 species